UUAUGACACAAUGGAGGGAUUAAUGUUGGCUUACUAUGAACUUUUAUACAAGUAUCUGUAUAAAAUCGACAAGCGUCCUGUAACAAGCAUAGUUCCACAUCAGUCAUGGCGUGUCUACACGGUAAAACCACAUCUUACAAUUUAUUGGAAGGAAUAUUUGCGAAUGCAGUCGCACAAGAAGUUGAAAGACUUUGUGUGGAAUCCUGUAAUGGUUGUCAAGUCAGUCAUCCUAGUCAAAGACAACAUGACUGCCUCAUGAUGAACGAAAACGAACGAUGGCAAAUGUAUGGUUUACAAGCGAUCGAACGAGUGAAUGGUAAGCGUAUGGUUUGGAAUGAAUUCGCUGAGGCAAUGAGGGUACUAAAACUGGC
rnacentral:lncRNA from 1 species